rnacentral:snRNA from 1 species
GGAUGUGAGGGCGAUCUGGCUGCGACAUCUGUCACCCCAUUGAUCGCCAGGGUUGAUUCGGCUGAUCUGGCUGGCUAGGCGGGUGUCCCCUUCCUCCCUCACCGCUCCAUGUGCGUCCCUCCCGAAGCUGCGCGCUCGGUCGAAGAGGACGACCAUCCCCGAUAGAGGAGGACCGGUCUUCGGUCAAGGGUAUACGAGUN